UACGUAGGGGGCAAGCGUUUGUCCGGAAUCAUUGGGCGUAAAGAGCGUGUAGGCGGCUCGAUAAGUCUGCUGUGAAAGUCCAGGGCUCAACCCUGGAAGGCCGGUGGAAACUGUCGGGCUAGAGUCCGGAAGAGGAGAGUGGAAUUCCUGGUGUAGCGGUGAAAAUGCGCAGAUAUCAGGAAGAACACCCCUGGCGAAGGCGGCUCUCUGGGGACGGUACUGACGCUGAAGACGCGAAAAACGUGGGGGGAGCGAAACAGGG
rnacentral:rRNA from 1 species